rnacentral:lncRNA from 1 species
UUUGGUUAUUGGUAUUUAAGGUUAUGUUUGGUUUAGGUGGUGAGGCUAUAGGUGGGUGGAUGAAGAUGGUGGUGUUGUUAGGAGGUUUGGUUGUUAUUUUAUUUUUAUUUUUUUCAUUUUCAUUUUCAUUGAUGUUUGUUAAAGACUUGGGUUAUGGUUUAAGGGUGAUUUAGGUUGUAGAAAUGAAAGGGUACUUCCUUUGCAAAACAAAAACUAUGGCUAAAAUAGUGCUUGGAAAUGUGACCAUAGUUUCAACCACAAAACCAAAAGUGUAUAGAAAAUAAAGAACACUGAGAUUGUUACUCAGUUCGACUUCAGUUUACGUUUGUGGGGCCUUGCC